CGGACGGGUGAGUAAUGUCUGGGAAACUGCCCGAUGGAGGGGAAUAACUACUGGAAACGGUAGCUAAUACCGCAUAACGUCGCAAGACCAAGAGGGGACCUUCGGGCCUCUUGCCAUCGGAUGUGCCCAGAUGGGAUUAGCUAGUAGGUGGGGUAACGGCUCACCUAGGCGACGAUCCCUAGCUGGUCUGAGAGGAUGACCAGCCACACUGGAACUGAGACACGGUCCAG
rnacentral:rRNA from 1 species